UCUGGCUAAACCUUGGGUGUGGCUGCUGUGUCACAUGCGCGUCAGUAGGUGGCAGAGAGGAGCGAAGCUGUGUCUGUGCUUAGUGUUCUGAUCUAUGAAUGAAUGAUUAGUAGCCUAACAUU
rnacentral:snoRNA from 1 species